CAGGAGGUCCCGCCGGGUGCGCGAGGCUUGGGGCGGCAGCCUGUCACCCGAAGCACGGGGAGCCCUCCGGAGAGCUCCCCUUGCUUUGGGCGAGAAGUCUCUGCUGCCCCGGGCGAUCUUAAAAUGUUGGCGGGCGGGAGCGAAGCGUUCGCUCCCGCCCCCCAGCAUUUUAAAAUCUCCCCGGGACAGCAGAGACUUCGCUCCUGCCCGCCAGCAUUUUAAAAUCGCCCCGGGACAGCAGGGGCUUUUAAAAUGCUGGCGGUCGGCAGCAAAGCCCUCCUGUCCCCGGAGCUUGCGGGGCGGGAGGUGGGAAGAAGGGCUUUUUUUCCCACCGCCAGCCUUCAGAACAGCCUUCUGAAGGCUGGCAGUGGGAAAAAAGCCCUUGUUCCCCCCCCCCAGCCUUCAGAAGAGGUCGGAGAACAGACUGUCCCCGGACCUGGUCUGAAGGUGGUUUCCCUAGGAACGCAUUAAUUGAUUUUCAAUGCAUUCCUAUGGGAAACCGUGCAUCGCAAGACGAAAAACUCGCAAGAAGAAAAAACUUGCGGAACGAAUUAAUUUCGUCUUGCGAGGCACCACUGUAUAUAAAGCAGACGUUCUGGGGGAACUUCCAUUCCUCCUCACCUCUAUGAGCUGAAUAAAGAGCAUGAAAUCCACUCUCGACUCUGAGUAUAUUUCACAGUCCUUUUCUUUUUUGCUCUCUCUUGCAGGUUGAUCCUUUUGCCAGCACCGUUAAGCCUCCUAAGUGCACUUCUGAGCUCCCUGUUGUCAUGAGCAAGCCGACAGUGGAAAAUGCUGCCUCUACGCCUCUGUACUUGUUCCUCAUCAUGGCUGUAAGCGUGACUGGAAUUGUUGGCAUCUUGGUCGUUGGAGUCAUUCUCCGGUAUGGGAAAAAAUGGGGGACGUCACCUUGCGGAGAAGAGAAACCCAGCACCGCCCCACCACGCUCCCUGACCCUCAUGGCUCCUGAGCCUCCUCUGAGUUCAUCUCCUCUCCUCUCCCCUCCCGCCUCGCCCUUCAGCGAAAGCUCUGUCGACACCCCGAGCAUCCCAGAGAACAGCCCCUACGAUGUUUCAAACGCGGACUAUUUCCUGAUGCCGUAG
rnacentral:lncRNA from 1 species